ACAUGGGUUAGUCGAUCCUAAG
rnacentral:snRNA from 1 species